UACGUAGGGACCGAGCGUUGUCCGGAAUCAUUGGGCGUAAAGAGCGUGUAGGCGGCUUGUUAAGUCUUGCGUGAAAUCUCGGGGCUCAACCCCGAGCGGUCGUGAGAAACUGGCAGGCUAGAGUGCGGGAGAGGAGAGUGGAAUUCCUGGUGUAGCGGUGAAAUGCGCAGAUAUCAGGAAGAACACCCGUGGCGAAGGCGGCUCUCUGGACGCAACUGACGCUGAGACGCGAAAGCGUGGGGAGCAAACAGG
rnacentral:rRNA from 1 species